rnacentral:rRNA from 1 species
AUUGAACGCUGGCGGCAUGCUUUACACAUGCAAGUCGAACGGUAACAGGCCUUCGGGCGCUGACGAGUGGCGAACGGGUGAGUAAUGCAUCGGAACGUGCCCAGUCGUGGGGGAUAACUAUCCGAAAGGAUAGCUAAUACCGCAUACGAUCUGCGGAUGAAAGCGGGGGAGCUUCGGGCCUCGCGCGAUUGGAGCGGCAGAUGUCAGACUAGGUAGUUGGUGGGGUAAAGGCUCACCAAGCCAACGAUCUGUAGCUGGUCUGAGAGGACGACCAGCCACACUGGGACUGAGACACGGCCCAGACUCCUACGGGAGGCAGCAGUGGGGAAUUUUGGACAAUGGGCGCAAGCCUGAUCCAGCAAUGCCGCGUGCAGGAAGAAGGCCUUCGGGUUGUAAACUGCUUUUGUACGGAACGAAACGGCUCUGGUUAAUACCUGGGGCUAAUGACGGUACCGUAAGAAUAAGCACCGGCUAACUACGUGCCAGCCGCCGCGGUAAUAC